GUGCUAGCUUCAGCAACAGAUAUUUAAAUUGUAAUGAUACAGAGAGGAUUAGCUGGGUCCCUGCACAAGGAGAGCAUGCAAAUUCAUGAAGCCUUCCAAUAUUUA
ensembl:snRNA U6 U6 spliceosomal RNA